rnacentral:rRNA from 1 species
UAGGGAAUCUUCGGCAAUGGGGGGAACCCUGACCGAGCAACGCCGCGUGAGUGAAGAAGGUUUUCGGAUCGUAAAGCUCUGUUGUUAAGGAAGAACGAGUGUGAGAAUGGAAAGUUCAUACUGUGACGGUACUUAACCAGAAAGGGACGGCUAACUACGUGCCAGCAGCCGCGGUAAUACGUAGGUCCCGAGCGUUGUCCGGAUUUAUUGGGCGUAAAGCGAGCGCAGGCGGUUAGAUAAGUCUGAAGUUAAAGGCAGUGGCUCAACCAUUGUAGGCUUUGGAAACUGUUUAACUUGAGUGCCGAAGGGGAGAGUGGAAUUCCAUGUGUAGCUGUGAAAUGCGUAGAUAUAUGGAGGAACACCGGUGGCGAAAGCGGCUCUCUGGUCUGUAACUGACGCUGAGGCUCGAAAGCGUGGGGAGCGAACAGG